CAAACUAUUCUGGGCAAAAAGUCUGACAAAUUGAAUCUGCCUCCACCUGGAUGCUGCUAAAGAGGGAUAACAGUGAGGAGAGAAUUUUUAGACUCUAAAACACUACAACCACAAGGACCAACUACAGACAGAUCCUGGGAACACAAUCCAACCCAGAGCAGAAGUGGCUACAAUGCAUCGAUGCAGAUUGUCUUGAAAGUCCUAGAGUUCUUCCAGCUUUCCAGAGAAGAACCACAUCCCUCCGAGCCAGCAGUGACACAGCUGUGUAACUACAUCCUGUCUCACCCACAGUGGAGCCGUACGUCUCCUAGAGCACACUGACACAGAAUAAGUGAGCCGGGGAGAUUAUGCGGGGAAUUGGAGAUGAACAUCAAUUUACCCGGGCCUGGAAAUAAAAGUUUCAUGGUAAGAAAU
rnacentral:lncRNA from 1 species